rnacentral:rRNA from 1 species
AAUGCUUAGGAAUCUGCCUAUUAGUGGGGGACAACGUUCCGAAAGGAACGCUAAUACCGCAUACGCCCUAAGGGGGAAAACAGGGGAUCUUCGGACCUUGCGCUAAUAGAUGAGCCUAAGUCAGAUUAGCUAGUUGGUGGGGUAAAGGCCUACCAAGGCGACGAUCUGUAGCGGGUCUGAGAGGAUGAUCCGCCACACUGGGACUGAGACACGGCCCAGACUCCUACGGGGGGCAGCAGUGGGGAAUAUUGGACAAUGGGCGGAAGCCUGAUCCAGCCAUGCCGCGUGUGUGAAGAAGGUCUUCGGAUUGUAAAGCACUUUAAGUUGGGAGGAAGGGCAUUAACCUAAUACGUUAGUGUUUUGACGUUACCGACAGAAUAAGCACCGGCUAACUUCGUGCCAGCAGCCGCGGUAAUACGAAGGGUGCAAGCGUUAAUCGGAAUUACUGGGCGUAAAGCGCGCGUAGGUGGUUCAGCAAGUUGGAUGUGAAAGCCCCGGGCUCAACCUGGGAACUGCAUCCAAAACUACUGGGCUAGAGUACGGUAGAGGGUGGUGGAAUUUCCUGUGUAGCGGUGAAAUGCGUAGAUAUAGGAAGG